GAUGAAGAACGCAGCGAAAUGCGAUAAGUAAUGUGAAUUGCAGAAUUCAGUGAAUCAUCGAAUCUUUGAACGCAUCUUGCGCUCCUUGGUAUUCUGAGGAGCAUGCCUGUUUGAGUGUCAUUAAAUUCUCAACUACACUGACUUUGAAUUGGUGUGGCUUGGAUUUGGGGGGAAAAUUGUUGUGGGCUUUUUGUAUAGUCUGCUCCCCUGAAAUUGAUUAGCGGUACCUUUGUGGAACUGUCUACAGGUGUGAUAAUUAUCUACAUCUUAGACAUCUGCUGGAAUGCUGCUUUCUAAACCUUACUUGUAUUGACAAUCUUGACCUCAAAUCAGGUAGGACUACCCGCUGAACUUAAGCAUAUCUAUAAGCGGAGGA
rnacentral:misc_RNA from 1 species